ACAAUGCAGUCAGGCAAGUUGACAUGUUUAAUGAAAAAAGAGCAAAAGACUCAGAGAGGGUUCCGUUCAAACACUGUUGAAGCAAGAACUCUGCUCAGAGUCAAAACUAGAUCUGAUCACAACACAAAGGAUCUCUGUAUUUAUAGGCAGCCAGCCCGAGGACUUAACACCCUCCCUUCACUUACAUCAUCUACCAGCAGCC